UACGUAGGGAGCAAGCGUUGUCCGGAAUCAUUGGGCGUAAAGAGCGCGUAGGCGGAAGCUUAAGUGUGGCCUGAAAGCCCCCGGCUCAACCGGGGAAGGUGGCUGCAAACUGGGCUUCUUGAGGGGGAUAGGGGAAAGUGGAAUUCCGGGUGUAGCGGUGAAAUGCGUAGAGAUCCGGAGGAACACCAGUGGCGAAGGCGGCUUUCUGGGUCCGCCCUGACGCUGAGGCGCGAAAGCGUGGGGAGCGAACGGG
rnacentral:rRNA from 1 species